AGCAGCCGCGGUAAUUCCAGCUCCAAUAGCGUAUAUUAAAGUUGUUGCAGUUAAAAAGCUCGUAGUUGAAUUUCGGGACCAAUUUGUUGGUCGUGCCUCGGUACGUACUGGUAUUAUUGGUUUCUCCCUUCUGAAGAACCAUGAUGCCAUUAAUUUGGUGUCGUGGGGAAUCAGGACUGUUACUUUGAAAAAAUUAGAGUGUUUAAAGCAGGCAUACGCUUGAAUACAUUAGCAUGGAAUAAUGAAAUAGGACGUUUGAUUCUAUUUUGUUGGUUUCUAGGAUCGACGUAAUGAUUAAUAGGGAUAGUUGGGGGCAUUAGUAUUCAAUUGUCAGAGGUGAAAUUCUUGGAUUUAUUGAAGACUAACUACUGCGAAAGCAUUUGCCAAGGAUGUUUUCAUUAAUCAAGAACGAAAGUUAGGGGAUCGAAGACGAUCAGAUACCGUCGUAGUCUUAACCAUAAACUAUGCCGACUAGGGAUCGGAUGAUGUUAAUUUUUAAUGACU
rnacentral:rRNA from 1 species